UUCGCAAUGCCCGAAAGGGUGACGAAGCGACGCCGCGUGGGUGAGGAAGGCCUUCGGGUUGUAAAGCCCUGUCAGGAGUUAAGAAAUGUAAGUGUGCUAAUAUCGCAUUUACUUGACGAAGGCUCCAAAGGAAGUCACGGCUAACUCUGUGCCAGCAGCCGCGGUAAUACAGAGGUGGCAAGCGUUGUUCGGAAUUAUUGGGCGUAAAGAGCACGUAGGUGGGUUUGUAAGUCAGAUGUGAAAGCCUCCUGUUCAACGGGAGAAUUGCAUCUGAAACUACUGAUCUUGAGUAUAGGAGGGGAGAAUGGAACUUCUGGUGGAGCGGUGAAAUGCGUAGAUAUCAGAAGGAACGCCGGCGGCGAAAGCGAUUCUCUGGUCUAUUACUGACACUCAGUGUGCGAAAGCUAGGGGAGCAAACGGGAUUAGAUACCCCGGUAGUCCUAGCUGUAAACGAUGGGCACUAAGUAGAGGGGUUUU
rnacentral:rRNA from 3 species